CGGUUGAUCCUGCCGGACCCCACUGCUAUCGGGAUAGGACUAAAACAUGCUAGUCAAGCGCCUCCCAAUGGUGAGGCGCGGCAAAAGGCUCAGUAACACGUGGCCAACCUACCCUUAGGAUGGGGAUACCCCCAGGAAACUGGGGGUAAUCCCCAAUAGGGUAAGGCGUCUGGAAAGAGCCUUACCCCAAAAGACGCCGAAACCAUGCUUUUCGGCGUUGCCUAAGGACGGGGCCGCGGCCGAUCAGGUUGUUGGUGAGGCAACGGCUCACCAAACCUUUAACCGGUACGGGCCAUGACAGUGGGAGCCCGGAGAUGGGCACUGAGACAAGGGCCCAGGCCCUACGGGGCGCAGCAGUUGCGAAAACUCCACAAUGCACGAAAGUGUGAUGGGGCUAUCCCGAGUGCCGUCCGCUGAGGAUGGCUUUUCCCCGCUGUAAGGAGGCGGAGGAAUAAGGAGAGGGCAAGACUGGUGUCAGCCGCCGCGGUAAUACCAGCUCUCCGAGUGGUGUGGACAAUUAUUGGGCUUAAAGCGUUCGUAGCCGGCCUGGCAAGUCUCUCGUUAAAUCCAGCGACCCAAUCGCUGGACUGCGGGGGAUACUGUCAGGCUUGGGAGCGGAAGAGGCCGACGGUAUUCUCGGGGUAGGGGUGAAAUCCUAUAAUCCCGGGAAUACCACCAGUGGCGAAGGCCGUCGGCUAGUACGCGUCCGACGGUGAGGGACGAAAGCUGGGGGAGCGAACCGGAUUAGAUACCCGGGUAGUCCCAGCUGUAAACGAUGCGGGCUAGGUGUCGGGGUGGCUACGAGCCACCCCGGUGCCGCAGGGAAGCUCAUAAGCCCGCCGCCUGGGAAGUACGGUCGCAAGGCUGAAACUUAAAGGAAUUGGCGGGGGAGCAC
rnacentral:rRNA from 1 species